UAUGUAAACAAGAAUAAUAAUUGUACGGAGUUUUAAGAAAGUACCAGAAAUAUCUUUCAGACUUGAGUGGGAUACUCUGUGUACAAGCGAUUGUUGUGGAUCUCUAAAAUACCUGUGGCUCAGGAAUCCAGAAGUAAGAAUGCUGCUAUGCAGACAGUAGAUGGGGAUUCCCUAGAGAUGUUGACGGUAAUGUGAGGUGACCACAGCAGCUAGAGACUAGGUAAGACUACUUCCUACCCUCCUCUAAAAACUACAAGGUAAGAUGAAAUCAGCUACAAAACAGUGAAUAUGUCAAAUAUUUUACACCUAAACAGGAAUUUUGGGAAACAGAGAUGAGUAUACUUUCUUUUGAGUAUCAUUAACGCUGAUAUUUUUAAUUAAACGUUACCAUGUCUCAGUCAGUAAAUAACAAUAAAAACAACUGCAGGAACCACCUACAGGCAUUUGUUAUGUGCUAGACACUGUAUCAAGUACUUUACAUAUAUGAUUUAUCCUCACAAUAACUCCAUGAUGACAAUGUUUUACCAUCCCUUUUUAAAAAAAGGAUGAGAAACUAAGGCCCAGAGAAUGAAUCUGGCCAAGGUAAAAGCUCAUAAGCAGCAUAAGUAAAAUCAACUGCUUCUAUCUGACUCCAAAGCUGAAAAGGAAACAGUAAGUUCUCUUAAAAAAAAAAAGUCUUCUUAUCUAUUUAAAUAAGAUAAUGUCCUUUUAUUACAGUGUAAUUAUGUGUGGAUUUAUUUCUCAUAAAUAAAUAUGCUUUUCAAAAAAAAUACUAUUCAAAGAGAAAUAAAAGAAGACCUUUAAUUUCAUUUGGCAAAGGAAAAUAAUGAGCCUUUCACAGUGGUGUCCAGGCUGAUGGCAUCAAUAAUUUCCUGUCUUUAGAGCUAAUUGCAGUGAUAGGAUACCUGUAUUUCAGGCAGGGGUAAAGACUAGCAAAAUAUUAUAGCUCCCUUGUAUCACAGUACUGUGAUGUCAGCCAGCCUUAUGACUCUCAGAUGAGAGUUCCUUAAGCAGAGGUCAUGUGACUCUGAGUUGUCAACAAUGGAUUAGACCAGAAUGUUGGCACCUGAGCCAAAAGCAGUCAUCUGAAGCUUGACCAGCAGUUUAUAGAGUGCUCUGGCACAAUUAUUUCCAACAGGGACACUGUCUCCAAGGAACCCUUGCUAUGAGAAAUCUGAAUGUAAGAUAGACAAGGAAGGACACAUACAAGACAGACAAAACAGAAGCCAUGACAUUGAUGGAAAACAGAAUCAGGAGUCAUCAGUAAAACAGGAGAAGCAGGCAGAAAGCAGCACAGAGGGGCUCAGUUAUGAGGAAAGCUACUACAGCAGAUUGUACCUUCUAGAAUUGUUUCUAUAUUCUAAACAGUUCUCUGCUACGGCUUACUGUUCAAAUGCUGAAAUGCCUUCUCUCAAUAUUCUCAUAAUAAAUUCUCUAUCUAUG